rnacentral:rRNA from 1 species
AGAGUUUGAUCCUGGCUCAGAACGAACGCUGGUGGCGUGUUUUAUACAUGCAAGUCGAGCGAGGACAAUAGCUUGCUAUUGAGCCGAGCGGCGAACGGGUGAGUAACGCGUAAGCAAUCUGCCCCAUAGUCGGGAAUAACCGCGCUAACGUGCGGCUAAUGCCGGAUAUUGUGUCCUACCGCAUGGUAGGUUGACGAAAGAUUUAUCGCUAUGGGAUGAGCUUGCGUCCGAUUAGCUAGUUGGUAGGGUAAUGGCCUACCAAGGCCGUGAUCGGUAGCCGACCUGAGAGGGUGAUCGGCCACAUUGGGAUUGAGAUACGGCCCAGACUCCUACGGGAGGCAGCAGUAAAGAAUAUUGCGCAAUGGGGGGAACCCUGACGCAGCAACGCCACGUGUGGGAAGAAGCAUUUCGGUGUGUAAACCACUGUCGAAAAGGAAUAAUAGAAGAUUUCGGUCUUUUUGAAUGUACUUUUAAUAGGAAGCACCGGCAAACUUCGUGCCAGCAGCCGCGGUAAUACGAGGGGUGCAAGCGUUGUUCGGAAUUACUGGGCGUAAAGGGAGCGUAGGCGGAGCUUCAAGCAAUCUGUAUAAUCCUGGGGCCCAACCCCAGUCCUGCAGAUUGGACUGUAGCUCUUGAAUAGUUCAGAGGCAAGCGGAAUACCUGGUGUAGCGGUGGAAUGCGUAGAUAUCAGGUAGAACACCAAUGGCGAAGGCAGCUUGCUGGGGACUUAUUGACGCUGAGGCUCGAAAGUGUGGGUAGCAAACAGGAUUAGAUACCCUGGUAGUCCACACGGUAAACGAUGCAUACUGGGCGUCCGGAUUUAAUUCGGGUGCCGCAGCUAACGCGUUAAGUAUGCCGCCUGGGGAGUACGUACGCAAGUAUGAAACUCAAAGGAAUUGACGGGGGCCCGCACAAGCGGUGGAGCAUGUGGUUUAAUUCGAAGCAACGCGCAGAACCUUACCAGGGUUUGACAUGGAAUCGCCGCAGCGAGAGAUCGCUGUUUAGUGUUUACACUACGGUUCACACAGGUGCUGCAUGGCUGUCGUCAGCUCGUGUCGUGAGAUGUUGGGUUAAGUCCCGCAACGAGCGCAACCCAUAUUUCUAGUUGCUACUCGCAAGAGAGCUCUCUAGAGAGACUGCCGGGGACAACCCGGAGGAAGGUGUGGAUGACGUCAAGUCCUCAUGGCCCUUACAUCCUGGGCUACACACGUGCUACAAUGGUCGGUACAAAGGGCAGCAAAACCGUGAGGUGGAGCGAAUCCUCAAAGCCGGCCUCAGUUCGGAUUGGAGUCUGCAACUCGACUCCAUGAAGCUGGAAUCGCUAGUAAUCGUGGGUCAGCAUACCACGGUGAAUACGUUCCCGGGCCUUGUACACACCGCCCGUCAAGCCAUGGAAGAAGGGAGUGCUCUAAGUCGUCAUGCCAACCCGCAAGGGAGCUAGCGCCUAAAGCAAGACCUUUAACUGGGGCUAAGUCGUAACAAGGUAGCCGUACCGGAAGGUGCGGCUG